GCCCGCUUGGCCCAGGGGUAAGGCGUCGUAUGUCAACGUGACCCUAUGUCUACCGCAACACAGUAUCUAACAGACAACCAGUCACUCGUACCGAUUUACCGGAUGCAAUGAGAAGAUCCUGUGUUCGAAUCACAGAGUGGGCA